GGCGAGCGAUCAAUGCAGACGAUGUGGGCGGCCUGCGAUGGACUCCAGCUGAGGUGCGACUGGAUUGGGAUCCAGCGGAAGCGCCGGGCGCGGGUGAAUCGGGGGCCGGUCAAUCACGCCGUAGGGCGAUCCGCUGCGAGGUACUCUGUAGAAAGGUGGGGAGACAUGGGCGAUAAUGGCGGCUCAUCUCAUGGAAACUGCUCCAACCAGACUUCAAACGCACAAUCAUACUUCAGUUUCUAAUCGCGCAUUCAUGGCGGGGAACGACGUCUCAUUUGGUGGACACUUCAGUUUCCAAUUGGUACGUGUAUAUAGGCUUCCUCCCCUGCCCCUUUUCGCUCAUCCUCUCUGAUCCAGAUCCAGCAGCACAACAUCUUCAGCAUCGCCCGCUGGAGCCGUUGAAGCAUGGGGGCGAACGGCCCGGCUAGCAGCACCCCCGCCUCGUCAUCCUCUUCGUCGGUCACGGCUGGCAGUGGCGGGACAGCCCAGAAGCCGUGGUUGUUCGUCGGGCUCGGGAACCCGGCAGGAUGUACAAUCUAAUGGGAUUAAGCGCCAUCGAUGAGGAGAGGUGGAUGCUUGAGUGGAAAGGAGGAGUUCAUUGCAGUCUGUAAGAUGGAUGUGUGAUCCGUGAAGUGAAGAUCCAUCCGGCAUCCGUGGUUGGCCGAGGCAAAGAUUUAGUGCUGAAUAGAAAAUAAGUACAUCUGUGGGAAGUGCAUCAGUAGGAUGCAAAUGAAACUUUUGAGACUUAAUGAAGUUGAGCAAAACUGCAGAAAAGAAUUUCAGUCGUGCAAACUAAGUAGAGCCUCCCUCGCAAAAAGAAAGAAAGAAAAAAAAUAAAAAUAAAAACCUAAGUAGAGCCUCUUCAGCAAGAGAACAUACAUAUUUUAAGUUUUUUAUAGCCUGAUCCAGAUGCUGUAAGUUAAGUUUGUAAACUUUGUGAAUCAUUUUGUUCCAGCUUUUCUUAUUGUAUAGUCUAACUGUAUCAGGUCAUUUACUAUGUGCAGAUUUGCUUUUGCCAUUGCUGAUCACGUCCUUCUCUCUCUGCUAGGAAACAUAUACCUACUUAUUGCAUUCUUAGGAUCCUUUUUAGUUAUGCUAAACUUAAAUCCUUCUGUCAACAGUUUAGUGAUUAUUCAGAAGGGACGUUGCAUAUUCCCAGAUGCACCAGAUCACUAGAUGUGGUCUGACUUGGCCUUUGUACUUCACUUCACUCCAUAUCCUUCACAUCAGACACUGUUAAUGAGAAGUUAGUUGGUGUAAUUUGUGAUCAAACGUGUUGCCUGCUACCUUAUUAAAUAUAAUUGCACAACUCAGUGGGUAGGCUCGGUUUACCUGAAGCUUGAUGUUCUUGCCUACCUACUUUCAUUGGUUUUGCAAAGCCAUGUAAUGUCUGUAGUAGCAUAGCCUUUCUUAUAUAGAUUUUAAUAGCACUUAGAUUUUUUUUGACGGAUAACACUGAUAUUAGAUAGGUUUUUUUUUGGGUAGAAUUCUCAAAUUGUUUCACUUGUUCUAAGGGAGCUGUGCAUUCUCAGCUGGUAGCCACUAUCGACUGUUGAAGUUAAUCAUGAUGCAAUUCAUAAAUCUUAGUUGCUAGAAUUUUAGAUUUGCUGGAGCCAUUUUAAUUAUGUCCAGCAAAAUAGACGUUACCUGCUUGGAAAAAGCUACUUAGGCUUGAUGCUAAGCUCUUCUCAGGGGCACAAGCCAAGCUCUUCUCAGGGGCAAAAGUGACGAACAUAUAGCCCAGUCCCUCUCGAUCCCUCUCCUCCCGCGGCGUGAAUCUUUGUAUUCUGCCUCCAUGGUAUUGUCUGUACGUCCCCUUACUUGAAGAGAUUUCUUUUUCCGAGUUUGUCACCUCAAGAUUUAGUGAUGAUUCCAGUCAGAUUGGUUUGCUGCAUACUUAAUCACCAUCCAUUAGAUGAAUUAUUAUUUGUUUGGCUGCUAAAACAAGUACCGGUGCUCUGUUUUGCUAACCUGAAUAUUCAGUUUGUUGUCCUUAAAUCCAAGCAACUUAUUUUGUUAUACUCCCUCAGUCAUGUAAGACGUUAUUACAUUCAAUAUUGCUUGCAUAUUGUAUGUAAUAACGUCUUAUAUUAUGGACGAAGGGAGUAUUUAACAUCCAUAUUACAUUUCAUCAUAUAUUUACGAAUUUCCUACCAUUAUACCGAAGAAAUGCAUGGGCGCGGCAAUGCGCGCCAGCAAUGAUCUAAUUAACAAUCAAAUUAAUAACGGCAGAUGGAAGGUCGACGGGGUUGACUGGCUCGAUCUAGCCGAGCGCGAUGCAGGCGACGCGCGGAUCCUUGGAUACAACCGAUGCAUGCGAUCUGUCUACGAGGGGAUCCAUCUGAUGCGUGUGAUCCUUUGGGAUUUGAAGAAGGCAAUUAAUCUUCAGUCUCUAGAGUCGUUCGUGGUGGAUGAUGUAUGCCGGUCGUUGACGGCGAUUAAUGAAGCGAACACAAUGGAAUAAAUGUGGCAGUUGCUGACCAGACUUGAGUCUAACAAAUGAGCAGUACCUAUGACUGGAUCCGCGUAGGAUGAACAUGAUGUAUACCCCAAAAAUUGUUGACCUGUUAAGUAUUUUCGUGGCGUGGAUGCUAAAGUACGAGCAGGUAAAUCAGAAGCUACUGCAGCUACUUGACUGCAAGAUGCAGUUUGGUUGUGCAUGACGCAUUCUGCUAGAGCUAUGAGAUGAGUUUGACUCCCCUAAGCUUUGUUUGAUAAAUAGUGUUAAGUCCCCUCUUUGGUUGCACACAUUAUUACUUUGCCUUCGGGGGGAAACUGAUUGUAUGAAUGGAUCGGUUAAUUUUACUAAGGUUAAUUAGU